UAUUGAAUAAACUUGAUCAGGUUGUUCUGCUGGCCCUCCCUCCUGGGGGGGUAUGUGCACACCUGUCAUCUUUAUAUUCUCCCAACUGUGCACCUUUUGUAGACCUGAUUGAAAUUGAUUGAUUCGUCUUUCGAGUUGGGGACUGCUGCGCUUUUCUCAAGUCGGCUUUCCCUUGUAUUUUUUUCAGGUCUAUGUCAUUAUCACAAACCUAUGAAUCUGUUUUAGAAUGUUGAAUUGGGUCCUUUUGUACCUAUAAAGUUAAAUAUACAACUUUCAGCAACGGAUCUCUUGGCUCUCGCAUCGAUGAAGAACGCAGCGAAAUGCGAUAAGUAAUGUGAAUUGCAGAAUUCAGUGAAUCAUCGAAUCUUUGAACGCAUCUUGCGCUCCUUGGUAUUCCGAGGAGCAUGCCUGUUUGAGUGUCAUCUUAAUCCUCAAAACCACAUUUGAUAGUGUGGCUUUGGAAGUGGGGGUAUAAUUUGCAGGCCUCGUCUUAAAAACAUGAAGUCUGCUCCCCUGAAAUGCAUUAGUGGUAUCUGAGCAGAGAACUACUACAGGUGUGAUAAUUUAUCUAUGCCUUGGUAAUACUGCAUGAACGGAU
rnacentral:rRNA from 1 species